AAGCAACAAAUGCCCUGCUUCCAGGAAAAGCCUCUAAGCAUCAGGUAACACGAAAUCGUACCCCAAACCGACACAGGUGGUCAGGUAGAGAAUACCAAGGCGCUUGAGAGAACUCGGGUGAAGGAACUAGGCAAAAUGGUGCCGUAACUUCGGGAGAAGGCACGCUGACACGUAGGUGAAGUGAUUUACUCAUGGAGCUGAAGUCAGUCGAAGAUACCAGCUGGCUGCAACUGUUUAUUAAAAACACAGCACUGUGCAAACACGAAAGUGGACGUAUACGGUGUGACGCCUGCCCGGUGCCGGAAGGUUAAUUGAUGGGGUCAGCGCAAGCGAAGCUCCUGAUCGAAGCCCCGGUAAACGGCGGCCGUAACUAUAACGGUCCUAAGGUAGCGAAAUUCCUUGUCGGGUAAGUUCCGACCUGCACGAAUGGCGUAAUGAUGGCCAGGCUGUCUCCACCCGAGACUCAGUGAAAUUGAACUCGCUGUGAAGAUGCAGUGUACCCGCGGCAAGACGGAAAGACCCCGUGAACCUUUACUAUAGCUUGACACUGAACAUUGAGCCUUGAUGUGUAGGAUAGGUGGGAGGCUUUGAAGUGUGGACGCCAGUCUGCAUGGAGCCGACCUUGAAAUACCACCCUUUAAUGUUUGAUGUUCUAACGUGGACCCGUAAUCCGGGUUGCGGACAGUGUCUGGUGGGUAGUUUGACUGGGGCGGUCUCCUCCUAAAGAGUAACGGAGGAGCACGAAGGUUGGCUAAUCCUGGUCGGACAUCAGGAGGUUAGUGCAAUGGCAUAAGCCAGCUUGACUGCGAGCGUGACGGCGCGAGCAGGUGCGAAAGCAGGUCAUAGUGAUCCGGUGGUUCUGAAUGGAAGGGCCAUCGCUCAACGGAUAAAAGGUACUCCGGGGAUAACAGGCUGAUACCGCCCAAGAGUUCAUAUCGACGGCGGUGUUUGGCACCUCGAUGUCGGCUCAUCACAUCCUGGGGCUGAAGUAGGUCCCAAGGGUAUGGCUGUUCGCCAUUUAAAGUGGUACGCGAGCUGGGUUUAGAACGUCGUGAGACAGUUCGGUCCCUAUCUGCCGUGGGCGCUGGAGAACUGAGGGGGGCUGCUCCUAGUACGAGAGGACCGGAGUGGACGCAUCACUGGUGUUCGGGUUGUCAUGCCAAUGGCACUGCCCGGUAGCUAAAUGCGGAAGAGAUAAGUGCUGAAAGCAUCUAAGCACGAAACUUGCCCCGA
rnacentral:rRNA from 1 species